UUAUCUCUAAAUCGAGAUCUCAUAUAUGUUUCACUUAUGAUAAUAGAUGCAGGUGUCUCACAGAUAGUAAUGAUAAAGGUCAAUUCAUAAUUUGUAUAAACGACCCUUGGGAUGUCAGGUGGCAGAAUGGAGUGCGAGGGAAAAUUUUUGAUAAUAAUGGGUUCGCCUUACUCCCGGUGGGGUCUUUAUCUAUUUCCCUCCAGUUGGUCCCUGCUGCCAUUGAUAAACAAGUAAGACAGGUUAUCAUCAUGAGUGAGACUAAGCUUCAGUCUGCCAUACAGUCAAACUCCACCCUUAAUCUUGCCCUUUGGCCUAAUUAUUUAAAUUUUGCUCUACAGUUGAUGAACCUUUCUAAUAUUAAUGCUUCAUUGUGUUUGUUAUGUGCCUUCUUGGUUCGGCCCUUACUAGCUGCUGUCCCUGUUAAUAAUUCCUCUGCACUCAACAUCGGCACCGCUGGCACUGUACCUUCUCCCCCCAUGCCGUCAAUUUCAUUACUUCCUAAUCCUGUGCAAAAUAUUUCCCUCUGCUAUAUCACUGCUAUCUACAUCUCCCCUUCCUUCAUAUGUCGCAGUAAUCGCUCUGUCAGUUCACCUAUUUAUGCUCCCCCUCUUACAUCUUUCUGGUGCAAUGAAUCCCUGUAUCAACAGAUCUCCAGGACCCUGUGUAUUAAUUACUAUUGUGCCCCAGCUAAACAUGUAUUUGCCAGAGGAGUUCGCCUGGCUACUCUGCCCACGCAUUAAGAAAGGAGUAUUUAUCCCUUUUGCAAUUGUGAUAGGAUUUACUGUUUCUGCUAGUCUUUCUAAGCAGGGGCUUUGGGACAUACUCUAUACUGCAAAAGAAUUUAAUUCCCAAUUACAACAAGUUAUAGAAUCCACAGCCAGUAGCCUUGCGUCCUUGCAAUGCCAGCUGACUUCCUUGGCACAAGUUGCCCUUCAAAAUCGUAGGGCCCUUGAUCUUAUUACUGCUGAAAAGGGGGGAACUUGCCUUUUCUUACAGGAAGAAUGCUGUUUCUACGUCAAUGAAUUGGGAUUAGUGGAGCAGAAUAUACAGACCCUGCAGACCAUCAGUUAUAAACUGCAUCAUUUUUAUCCAAGUCCUUCUAGAUGGCUGGAUUCCCCUUUCCUUUCUUGGAUUCCCUCUGUGGUGUCAUACCUCCUCAUCCUCCUGCUUCUUCUUACACUAGGGCCAUUGUUGGUAAAAAGGCUGUUUUUCUUUAUUAAGCAGCAAAUAGAGGCUCUUCACGCUGCAAAACCCAUACAGGUCCAUUACCAUCGCGUUGAUCUUAUGGAUCGCGAGUUGAUAGGGACACGUUGCUAUGAUGGUGCUACUAGCCAUCCCCCUUGAGAGAUGAACUGGAUAGUCAAUGACGGGUACGUGAGAAUCCCCCCUUGAUGGAAACCUAAGACAGGAGGGUAGUCCAAUGCUACUACCUUAUCCAAUGACGGGUAAGCCCUUGGGGAAGGAUACUCCAACCUAAGACAGGCGCAGUUCCCUAAGGGUCUAGCAACCUUCGAUCCCUAAAACUCUAUAAAGUAAAAAAGGGGGACCUGUUGGGAGCCUGAGGCUCAGCCAUUUCUCGGGGCUGCUGGCAGACCUGAGUUGGUGACCUUUCCAUGCAGGCCACAACCUUGGCUCACAGCCAGGGCUAACAACCUUGGCCCACAACCUUGGCUUACAGCCGGGGCCUGCAACCUUGGCCCGCAGCCUUGUUCUCUUUUCCAGUAAACAGCCCUGUUCUCCAGUAAUCCGUAGAUUCCUCCCUUAAAGUACGUCAGGGCCCCUGUGUUCUGAUUGAUUUGAUUACCCACUCUUCAUUUCUUUGUUCUCAUUCUCUAUUUAAACUCAUGCUUGUGCUUUAAUAAACGAGACUUGAUCAGAGCACUGUCUUGUCUCCAUUUCUCUUGUCUCUUGCCUCAUCUACAUCCCCACCCCCAAUCCAGGUACACCCCGUUGCAGACCCCGCGGACAAGGGCACAGUUCCAGCAGAUCUGAUAACCUCUUCUGGCCUCCAUAUGACACACAUGUGGUACAUACAUACACACACACACACGCACACACACACACAAUGCAAAAAAAAUGAGGAUAGGUAGAGUUGUAACACAGUGGUAGAGCACUUGCCUAGCAUGGGGUGGUGGUGGUGCUGAAUUCAAUUCCCAGUAAUGAAAAAAGAGAAAUUAUGGUUUGAAUGAGAAAUAUCCCCAUAGGCUCAAGUGUUUGAACGCUUUGCCCCAGUUGAUGGCACUGUUUGGGGAGGACUUGGAACCUUAAGGGUGGUGUGGCCUUGCUGGAGGAAGUAUGCCACUGGGGGAGGGUUCUGAGAGAUUAAAUCCUGGAACCACUUAACUUCAUGUUCUUUGCUUCAUUUUUACUGUUGAAGAUGUGAGCUCUCAGCUUCCUCCCCAGCCGCCAUGCCUGCCUGAUGCCAUGCCUCCCCAGCCAUGAUGGACUCUUAUCUUCUGGAACCGCAAGCACACGUCUACAUAAUUGCGGGGGCCUGCUUGUCUCUCGGUUUUCGAUUUGCUGGUUCAGAAAAUUUAUCAGCAUUUAAUUGUUUGCAUAAAUUUGCAAAGGAUUUUAUGACUUACUUGUCUGCACCUAAUGCUUCUGUAGAGAUUUAAAGAACUGUCUCAUCUUUGUGUUUUGGUUUUAAGAUACCUUUGAGAAUGUGAUUAACCUGGGAUGAUGCAUAUGUCUCUAAUUCUUGUGAAAAGAGUAUAAAUGACAGGUAUGACAUGCAUGGAAUGGUAUGCCUCACAUUCUGUUGGUUACAGCAUGCCUGAACUGUCCUUUUGUAAAAAUUAAUACGUAGUCAAGAUCAGUUGCUCUUAAGACUUUACUACUUUGAUGACAAGACUACAAGAGCUUAUUUCCUGAUAA